rnacentral:rRNA from 1 species
GAUGAACGCUAGCGGCAGGCUUAAUACAUGCAAGUCGAGGGGCAGCAGGGGUGUAGCAAUACACUCGCUGGCGACCGGCAAACGGGUGCGGAACACGUACGCAACUUACCCAAAACUGGGGAAUAGCCCGGGGAAACCCGGAUUAAUACCUCGUAACAUAAUGAAGUGGCAUCACUUUAUUAUUAUAGCUCCGGCGGUCUUGGAUGGGCGUGCGCCUGAUUAGGUAGUUGGCGGGGUAACGGCCCACCAAGCCUACGAUCAGUAACUGGUGUGAGAGCACGACCAGUCACACGGGCACUGAGACACGGGCCCGACUCCUACGGGAGGCAGCAGUAAGGAAUAUUGGUCAAUGGACGCAAGUCUGAACCAGCCAUGCCGCGUGAAGGA